rnacentral:rRNA from 1 species
AGUAACACAUUGGUAACCUACCUUCGAGUCGAGAAUAGCCCAGGGAAACCUGGAUUAAUACUCGAUAGUCUCUGAAGACUUAAUGUUUUCGGAGUAAAGAUUUAUUGCUCGAAGAGGGGCCUAUGGCCUAUCAGCUAGUUGGUGAGGUAAAAGCUCACCAAGGCUAUGACGGGUACCGGGCGUGAGAGCGUGACCCGGCUCACUGGGACUGAGAUACGGCCCAGACUCC